rfam:Schistosoma mansoni, Puerto Rico, WGS project CABG01000000 data, contig: 0032
UCACUGCUUAGGAGUCCCACAAUAGGACGAAACGGCCGUCCAGUGC